ACACACACACUCACUCACACACACUCACUCACACUCACACAAUGCUGCCGCUGCCACCGCGGCACCUACCAGGCGGGCAGCCUCGGCCCAGAAUGAACUUCACCCACAAGAUAUGAUGAAAUAUCAUCUCAAGUUAUAUAGAAUUUCAAGGAAUUGUGAAGGUGUCCCAGAGGAGUUAAAAUUUGUACAACAUGCUUGUGGAGCACACAUCACGUGUGAUUUGGCUGGAACGCUGAGUUCCUGAUUUGCAGACCUUCUAGACCCUGUCUGCCCACAGGAGAGUGGAUUGCUGAGUGAUAGAACAGUGACACGUGAAGGUAACAAAUGUCACAGGAAUAUCAACUAAAACUCAGUCACAUAUGCCCACAGCCUGAUCACCGCAGCCCACCGUACCCGUCGUCUCCAGCAGUGAAACCGCGGUCUGCGGCGUGCCCGUGAGAGCCAGUGUCAGAAACCCAUCACUUCCCGUGUGCCUCCGUUCAACUCUGUUCAAUCACUUACUACACUAAAUUAUACCAAUCUCCGCUUGGAAAAGCGUUCCCUUCCUUUUUUUUUUUCUUUUCUUUUUGUUGUUGUUGUUUUUGUUGUUGUUGUUGUGUUUUGUUUUGUUUUGUUUUCGGGGGGGUUUUUUUGUUUUGUUGUUGUUUUUGCAGGGAACUGUUUUGUCACACUGAAAUAGAGUUUAUGUGCAGUGACAGCCUAAUAAGCCAGCAACUUUAGUCGCUUAUUAAAGUCAAGCAUGUGUCUUUGUUUCAUGUUGCUAAUGAUGUGGAACCGUGGAGGCCCGAGUAUAUUUCGUCUGGACGGUGUGGGAGCGAAUGCUGAGAGCUCAUUACUUGGCUCCCCAUUGGAAUCCUGCAGGCUUCUGCUCAUUGAGGAGACUGUGGGGGCUUUGACAGAAUUAUUAUACUGAAUAUUUUUAGACUCAUUAACUAUAUCACCAAAGCAAAACAUCUCUUCCUUAGAUGCAAAUGGCUGCAGCUACUGUGGCUUUGCUUUAGUUAUUACAGAAAAAAAGGAUGAAGCUUGAAAACAACUUAGAGAAAGGAUUUUCAUGCCCGAAUGUUUGAAUUUGUAACUCAUGUUGGCAAUGUGUAAGCCUUUUUUACCACAUUUAAGCCACUCAUGUCUAAGUGCCAUUUAAAAAUGCAUAUAUUCAGUCUCAUGUAGUAAGUGGUGCUCAAUCCUUUAAAUUUAGACAGCACUAUUGAAGUACACAGUAAAAUAGCAGCUUUUGAAAUUCCACUUUCUAUUCCAAGAUGAAAAGAUUUAAAUGUUAAAAACUCAUAUUAAACUAAUUAUAGAUGCUUCAGUUAAGCCUUCAAAGGUAAAGAAAUUCAGAGUUAAGGCUAAAAAUUCUGACUUUCCUUUAACCUAAGUGCUGGAACAUAUGUACUGUGCAGUAUGAAAAAUCACACACUUCUCCAGACCGUACAAUCCCUAACCAAAACAGAAUGAUUUAAAGAUGAAGAGUGAGACAAAAUUUUUAGCCUAAGACUGAAUUUCCUUGCUGUGAUGGGUUUAAGUUGGCUCUUAAUGUUACUUUAUUGUAGCUUUUUGGGGUUUAAUUGAGACUUAAGAUGUACUUGAAGAAAAAUAUGAAUACCUUAAAAUUAAUUCUUCAGAGCAAAGGACAGAAAAUUGCAUUUAUGGCUCCAUUUGUUGGAAAAGUGAGGUUGGCUGUGAACUGUACAUUAUUUCACCUUCUAUAAAAUUAUAUUUUGAUUUCUUGAUGGGGACCUUCUCUAUAUGUUGUGUACAACCUUGUCCUCUCUAAAUUAUCAGCUUGAGCAUUUUCCCAAGUACAUGCACAUUCAAAAAAUACUAGAGACAAGAGGGUUUUUUUCUCAUAAUGUGUGCAAGCAUUCAUUAGGAUUUUAUUCUCUAAAAUUAUUGGAGGUUAAAAAACAACUAUUUUGAUUCCUAGGCAGAAAGACAUUGCUUUUAUUUGUGGUUCAUUUCCUGCUGUAGUAUUCUCUGACAAUGGUGACACCGUCUUUAUACAUCAAGAAGUUCUUCUUUCUAUGACUGCCAGGGACUCUGGAGGGAAUACUUCAUAUCUGAAACAUGUCUCCCUUUGGGAUUUCACCAUCAGAAUAACAGUUCUGAUCAGUGGCCCAUUAGAAAAAUGUUGGGUUUUUUUCUUCUUUUUUUUCCUGAAGCUAUGAAAAGGAAUAGUUAAAAAUCUGACAGAUAAGAAAAUUAUACUGAAUUGAAGUUAAUUUUUGUGCACACAGGAAUUUCAUGCUGUCCCCCAAGCAGUAAUUUCUUAAAGGUGCAAGGGGAGUUCUGAAGUUAAGCUCUGGGUAAGUGCAGCCACAGGCAGAGUGGGUGCAGUUUGUCUUUUGAGACGUUGCAGUUCCUGUUCAUACAUGUUUGUAGCACAGUGCUGUUUAAUUUAGGUGUCGGGCAAAGUUUUUGAACUCCAGUGCCUCAGGCAAGGUUCCUAAACCUUUAUGUUUAAGCAGUAGGUAAUAGUAGCCCAAAUUAUUUCCUGGCAAGGAUAAGCCUUUCUGAAAGAUUUGAUUAUUAUUAUGGGUCGCAGUAAGGAAGCCAGCUCUAAAACCAGUGGCCAUGGUUGUUCAGUAAAUACUUUAUUCUUCCUUAAAGCUGCACAGAACUUUCCAAAUUCAAGUGUAAAUGCUCUGUUGGGAAAAUUCUCACCUGCAGAACUGGUUCGCAGUUGUGAUUUCAGAUGUUUUGUAGUAAAAAUAGCCUGAAGGCAACACACCUGUCUAGGUAUACAUAGAUGAUUCACAGGAAAUAGAAUAGACUUGGUCUGUAGGCAUGCAAAUACAAUUGUUUCAUUUCCUACAGGCAGCAUGAUAAUCAGUUUAGUAGAUGUAUUAGUACUAUAAACAGCUGUUAACUAUCAGUUAUUGUAUUUACAGUCUUAUUUACAGUCUUACGUUUAGCCAAAAUAAAACUCGUUGUAUGAUUCUACCUUUAAUUUUAUUAAUUUGCUUACUUUAAUGUCUGUAGAGCUGUCUCUUCAGUUUUGGAGAGAAAAGGUAUUGUUAGGUGGCUUGUUUCUUUUGGUUGUGUUUUUUUUUUUGUUUUGUUUUAUUUUGUUUUGUUUCUGGUUGUUUUUGUUAUUGUUGUUGUGAUUGAGGCUUUUUAUUUUGCUUUGUUUUGUUUUUUUACCUAAAAAGCUAUACCUUGAAGUGAAAAGCCACUGGUAACAGACAUGCCUACUCUGCUGGGGAAUGUGAAUUAGGAGAGUUAAACUCUUAUUAAGAUGCAUUUUUGAACUAUACAAUAAAUAUUUAUUAGAUUGUAUGAUAAAAUUAAAUAUUUGUUCUACACUCCCAGUGACUGUAUUUCAGUGAGUUCUGUAUUAUAAAUCUUUUUAUGUCCAAUGACAUACAAUGGUUUUUUAUCAACCCUCUAGGUAUUGUGUAGUUGCCAAAACUUGGCUUUACUAGACUAUUGACCAAGUUCAAAGCUUUGUACCCUAUAAGUGUUUUCAGUAUUUAAAAUGUUUCUAUUUCUUUGCUAUGUAUAGCAAGAUGACUUUGCAGUUAAAUUUUAUUUUUCUGUUGCCUAUAGCCUUUAUUCAAGAUAAGACUUUUGUAUUCAUUUAGAAUUGGUUGCCUUAUGUGAGAUAGUUAUGGCACUGAACAGGUAAUUUUUUCUUGAUUUGGACUUCUGGUGGAUUUAUCUUAUAUAAAUGUUUCAGGUAAUAGAAAAAGACAUAGCAAUAUUUUUUUUAUAUAUAGUACAUAUGAUUGACCUCAGAAAGGGUCAGAGUUUAGGAGUCUAAAGUUUUGAAUGAAAUAUUUAAUGGUAUGUUAAAGAAAAGUGAUCAUAGUAUGGUUUUAUGAGUUGUUUAUUUUUAAAAAAUCAUCUUGUAAAGCUAAAUUUAUUUAUAUAUUCUCUAUUGCUUUUCCAAAUCUGGAAUAGUAUAGAGCAUCCAAAGAAGCAUCUUUCUGUAUUAGAGGACCACAAAAAUGGGGUGCUAGUCGACCUAGUCUUUAAUUGGAAAAAUAAAUAACUUUUUUUAUUGUCUAGGAUAUGUCUGUGCUGACAUUAAGGGACCUGUUCUGUGCUCUCCAGUCCUGCUGUCCUGAUCUUUCAAAUUGGGAAGCUUUUGAAGUGCAAUAUUUCUCUCCUUCCUUGUCUGCCCAAAUUUUCUUCCAAGAGAAAGCAAGAUGCAUGUGAUGUGUGCAGGUCUUUGCUUUCUUUUCCUUUUUGCAGGAAGAGAAAACUGAUUAAGAUGAACUAUAAUUAUUGGUACUUCUGCUGUUAGAAGCUGAACCUGUGUCCUGAAAAGUAGAAGAAAAAUAUACAAAGAAAAAAUCACCAAACCCAGAAAAUUCAGCUUCUAACAUUAAUGCUUUCUAUUUAUCAGCAUUGGCUGCAACAAAGAUUGCCAGCAUUGCUUUUAAGGCACUUGAUACAUUAGAAAAGGCUAAAAAAAUGAGACCAUGGAAACCUUCUUGGGCUCAAGCCCAAAUGGUACUUUUUCUUGUUUUCUACCAUGCCAAGGUGACUUUGUCAGUUCCACUGGCUUGACCACCCUACACAGUGCUUGACCAUGGAUUUCUGUCCUCUGGAUCCCGUCAGGGGCCUUCUGGCCUUAACUGGUGGCUAAUACUACACAUGACUGUAUUUCAGUUCCGUAUAGACCCACCAGAGUAGGUUUUUAGAAAAGGUGAAGUUAUGCAUAGUAUGUCACGAGGUGUGGCACAAGGGUAGUCCAGGGAGAACCUGAAGUUCUUCAUUAAGUCUGAGUCAGCCUAUGGAGAAAUGGAAAAAUGUGGAAGAAUAUGGAAAGCUAUUAGGGCCACUCUGCUUUCAGAGCCUGAGAAGGAGUUAAAGAUGCCCAAAUAUCAGCUGUCAUGUGUUCUGAACAACAUCUAUGAAAAUCUUUGGGGGAGUGUUUCACCCUUUUUAGCUCUGUCUCACGUGGAAUAUUGUUGCACCCUCCAGAAAUAGCCUCCCCCAGAAAUACCCUGUUACACUCCAUAUGUUGAUCUGCUCACAAACUCAUUGCUUUGAAGGAAAUGUGUAAAGGACUAUAAACCAUAUAAAUAAGGCUUUGUCAUAAUACAUAGGGUCCUAAAUUAACAUUGCAAAAGCAACUGUAAGUCUGGCAUUUCCUAACUUCCAAACAUCUUUCUUUCCUUUUUAUUAUCCUUUUAAGGUAAUUGUGUGUGAUUAUAAAGGCAUUAACUAGAAUCCUUUUUACAUCUUUCAUUUAUCUGGUAAUCGGGAACAUAAUACUGAAUCUAUUUGUGUAAUUGUGGCUGUUAAGAACCUUGGAAAUCUAGGUAGGUAUAACCUGCCAAAUAACUCAUGGUUUACUAAAGUCACUGACUCCAGUCAUUAAUGGUUUAAAUGUGUCCUCG